ensembl:lincRNA
UGCCAGACUGUCUUUGGAACCAGGCUGCAGUUCCAUUUUCUCUUUCAGCCCCUGGAACAGAGCCAGGAAAUGAUAGAGUUGCCGGCACAGGGACAGUGGGGUGGGGAGGGGGAGCAAACGCUCCCUGCAUUCGCUGUCACAGUCAUCUCUGAAAGAGCACUUCACAGAUCAGAGUGCAAUUACUCCAUUAUUCCUCCACAGCCAGGAAAAGUCUCCCUCUCCACAGCUCCGUGGCAGUCGCUACAGAUUCUACUGCUAAUCACGUCUUCCAGAUGUUGCUUGGAAAGGAUCCGUUGCACAAAGCUUGCCCCUUGCAGCAGGGCUCAAGGUUGGCACCCUGCUCAUCCCGGUCCGAGCCUGUUUGACAGUGGCAAAUCAAAACAACUUCAUCUUUAUGCUGAUGAGGCCUAACCACCACCACAACAAGAGCUCCACUGGAUCCAAGUGGAACCGUUGCCCAGGGCAGGUGACCUGCAGUGCUGCAAGCUUAUUGCUGUGGACGUUGCAUGGCAAGCUGUGUCAUCGCCUCCGCCUCCACGGUCGAGAUGGUCACAGGGGGAGCUGCCGUGGGUUCCUAUGAACGACUGCUCCAGACACGGUGGCCGGCGUCCUCAUAACCAACCCAGCUAUGGAUGCCUUUGACUCAUGUCUCCAUUCCUUGCUUAACCAUCACAGCUACUUCAUUAGAACCUAUUUCAGGAAGCACCACCAUUUAUGAAUCAGAGAAAUGGGUUAUACUUCCUAGGGAGAGUACCAGACGUAUGGAAGCCAGGGUUUAGUCAUUUCACCACUGAGGGUCUGUACAGUUCACAAACUGGGCCAUUAGACCUCUGGUGAUGAGGAAACUCCUGGGCACCUCUAGGCCAGCUUGAAUAGAGAGGAAUCUUUCUAAGCAGGAGGUUGGCUUCAUAGAUUUUUAAAGGCAAGCCAUGUCCACCCAAAGAAACAUUAUGCAUACUGAUGCUAAUGGAGGAAAGUGCAUUAAGUAUAGUGCAAAGACUCAUUAGUGGAAGAUCAUUACAAAAUGCCUUCCUAAAAUAAGGAUUCUGGUGGUUCACUUUCUUUGGAAACGCCUCAUAUUUUGUAUCCGAAACAUCCUAGACAGGGAGGCACCCAGAAAAACUAGUUAAAUACACAUCUCAAUCUGAUGGCACAAAUUCAUCCAGUUGCAGAGCCAGUGGCGGUGGCACACGCCAUCAUUCCAGCACUAGGGAGGCUGAGGCAGGAGGAUCGCCAUGAGUUUGAGGUCAGCCUGGGCUACAUACUGAAUUCAGGGCCGUCCUGAACUAUAUAGUGAGAUCCUGCCUCAAACAAAACAAACAAACAAAAACAUCUAGUUGCAAUCAACAUGAAGUAUUGACCGGGGACACAGACCCUGAAAAUGUUUUGAUCUUUGGAUUCGUCACAGGGUCCAGCUUCCAGGGGAGUCCAUUGUGCUGUGAGUGGAGGUGGUGACCAUCUGGUUUUACUCUUAUCUCCUUACAGAAAUGAGGAACUUGAGCAGCCACCCCCUCCUCCCACCUCCCACCGCACCUCAUCUCCUCUCUCCACACUGGGAAGGUUUUAAGCAUUUCUGAGGGACACCGGCU